ACAGAGGCUUAAAAGAUAGCAUAAUGAAUUAUUUGAGAGGUUGCAUAACAGGUUUUGUAAAUGAACAUCAUGCAAAAUUUAAAAUAUCUAUGUCUUGAACUUGUAUAUAUGCACCUUCUGCAUCGUCUUCCCUUUUAUCUAAGCCAUCUUUGGUCUCACGGGCGUUUUCCUGUCACACUGCAUGAUGUCGGUUCAUCCACUGAAAACAGUGACUUAAUUAUUAAUUUUAAGUCACUUGAUGAUAUUCUAAAUUCAUAACUAUCUCUUCAAGUCCAUGCUACAAUGAAAGAGAACAUGUACUAGAUAAAAAUAUUGGAAACAGGAUGAUAAUUUGUUAAGGUGUGACAAUUCCACUAGACUACCAAAAAAGACGAAUUAUUACAAACCAAAAGUAAAAAUACUAACCAGCAACGCCGUGUAUUUUGAACAACUAGGCCUAUCCCCCAGUUUCUGAGUGUAAGGUGAAUCCUAUAUUCCUAUCUGGAAUCCAUUCCAUGCUUGAUUGCAUAUUGAUUCUGUUGAAUGUUCUCCAUCCUUGCGAAUAUUUCCCCGACUUCGCGCCCAGAAAGGAACAUUGAAAAAAAAGCGCUUUGAUCACUUGCGUGAACGUCAGGUCGUACACUGACUGAUUCGUCCCCAGGUCAACGCGUAACCAAAAGACGAUCAGUAAAAAGUUAUACAAUCGACCAGUGGAAACCCAGUGUAUAAGACUUCAUAUAUAUACAUAUGAUAUAUUUUAUACAUGAUAUAUCUUAUAUCGAAUUAGAACGGGGAGAAGAAAAAAACACGACAAGCUUCGUACAUUGUACAAGUUGACCGAAACGACAUCACCGGAAGUUACAACUUUCAAAGAAGUCAUUUAUGAUUUAAAGAUUUGUGAAUGGAAAUCAAUAACAUCGGAAUGAAAAAGGACUACGGGGUAACGGAUGACACUCUGAGAUUGAGAACCCAAAAGGUACAUGCUGUGCAAGAAAGAUGUAAACAUGCGAAUUCCUAAAUGUACUAAAUAUUAAAACAUCAACUGCAA